CCUACUGGAGGCAGCAGUGAGGAAUAUUGGUCAAUGGACGAGAGUCUGAACCAGCCAAGUAGCGUGAAGGAUGACUGCCCUAUGGGUUGUAAACUUCUUUUAUAAAGGAAUAAAACGAGGCACGUGUGCCUUUUUGCAUGUACUUUAUGAAUAAGGAUCGGCUAACUCCGUGCCAGCAGCCGCGGUAAUACGGAGGAUCCGAGCGUUAUCCGGAUUUAUUGGGUUUAAAGGGAGCGUAGAUGGGUUGUUAAGUCAGUUGUGAAAGUUUGCGGCUCAACCGUAAAAUUGCAAUUGAUACUGGCAGUCUUGAGUACAGUAGAGGUGGGCGGAAUUCGUGGUGUAGCGGUGAAAUGCUUAGAUAUCACGAAGAACUCCGAUUGCGAAGGCAGUUCACUGGACUGCAACUGACACUGAGGCUCGAAAGUGUGGGUAUCAAACAGGAUUAGAUACCCUUGUAGUC
rnacentral:rRNA from 1 species